UACGGGGGGGAGCAAGCGUUGUUCGGAUUUACUGGGCGUAAAGGGCGCGCAGGCGGCUCAUUUUGUCAGGCGUGAAAGCCCCGGGCUUAACCUGGGAACUGCGUUUGAUACGGAUGGGCUAGAGUUCGGGAGAGGAGAGUGGAAUUCCCAGUGUAGAGGUGAAAUUCGUAGAUAUUGGGAAGAACACCGGUGGCGAAGGCGGCUCUCUGGACCGAGACUGACGCUGAGGCGCGAAAGCGUGGGGAGCAAACAGGG
rnacentral:rRNA from 1 species